AGUCGAACGAACUCUUCGGAGUUAGUGGCGGACGGGUGAGUAACACGUGGGAACGUGCCUUUUGGUUCGGAAUAACUCAGGGAAACUUGUGCUAAUACCGAAUGUGCCCUUCGGGGGAAAGAUUUAUCGCCAUUAGAGCGGCCCGCGUCUGAUUAGCUAGUUGGUGAGGUAAUGGCUCACCAAGGCGACGAUCGGUAGCUGGUCUGAGAGGAUGAUCAGCCACAUUGGGACUGAGACACGGCCCAAACUCCUACGGGAGGCAGCAGUGGGGAAUCUUGCGCAAUGGGCGAAAGCCUGACGCAGCCAUGCCGCGUGAAUGAUGAAGGUCUUAGGAUUGUAAAAUUCUUUCAGUAGGGACGAUAAUGACGGUACCUACAGAAGAAGCCCCGGCUAACUUCGUGCCAGCAGCCGCGGUAAUACGAAGGGGGCUAGCGUUGCUCGGAAUUACUGGGCGUAAAGGGAGCGUAGGCGGACAUUUAAGUCAGGGGUGAAAUCCCGGGGCUCAACCUCGGAAUUGCCUUUGAUACUGGGUGUCUUGAGUAUGAGAGAGGUAUGUGGAACUCCGAGUGUAGAGGUGAAAUUCGUAGAUAUUCGGAAGAACACCAGUGGCGAAGGCGACAUACUGGCUCAUUACUGACGCUGAGGCUCGAAAGCGUGGGGAGCAAACAGGAUUAGAUACCCUGGUAGUCCACGCCGUAAACGAUGAUUGCUAGUUGUCGGGAUGCAUGCAUUUCGGUGACGCAGCUAACGCAUUAAGCAA
rnacentral:rRNA from 1 species